CAGCCCUUGUCCCCAUCCCCAUCCCCGCCUGCCCGGUCGGUACGGUGGCACCUGCACGAGGUUCUGUCCCUUGGCACAGAGCCGGGACCAGGCUCCUGCCGCUGGGUUUCUCCUCUGGAAGGUGUUUUCCUCGUUGCAGGGACUGGAGAAGGCGCCGGGGCAGCAGGAGGUGGCUCGGAGGUGUGUGAGUGAGCCCAGAGAUCCAAGGAGCUGUUUGCUGCUUCAAAAAGAAGGUGAACCCUUCUUCUGGCAAUGAUUUGAUAAGCUGUUCCAACACAAAGCUGAGCAAACCAAGGACCCACAUUGCCCCUGUACCUCCACAGAGGCUCUCUCUGCAGCUGAGGGCACCAGGGGGCCUGGCUGGGGACACUCACUCUGCC